rnacentral:rRNA from 1 species
GACGAACGCUGGCGGCGUGCCUAAUACAUGCAAGUAGAACGCUGAAGAGAGGAGCUUACUCUUCUUGGAUGAGUUGCGAACGGGUGAGUAACGCGUAGGUAACCUGCCUUGUAGCGGGGGAUAACUAUUGGAAACGAUAGCUAAUACCGCAUAACAAUGGAUGACACAUGUCAUUUAUUUGAAAGGGGCAAUUGCUCCACUACAAGAUGGACUUGCGUUGUAUUAGCUAGUAGGUGAGGUAAUGGCUCACCUAGGCGACGAUACAUAGCCGACCUGAGAGGGGGGUCGGCCACACUGGGACUGAGACACGGCCCAGACUCCUACGGGAGGCAGCAGUAGGGGAACUUCGGCAAUGGGGGCAACCCUGACCGAGCAACGCCGCGGGGGGGAAGAAGGUUUUCGGAUCGUAAAGCUCUGUUGUAAGUCAAGAACGGGUGUGGGAGUGGAAAGUUCACGCUGUGACGGUAGCUUACCAGAAAGGGACGGCUAACUACGUG